CUAGCUGUAAACGAUGGAUACUAGGCGUUGAGAGUAUCGACCCUCUCAGUGUCGUAGCUAACGCGUUAAGUAUCCCGCCUGGGGAGUACGCGCGCAAGCGUGAAACUCAAAGGAAUUGACGGGGGCCCGCACAAGCGGUGGAGUAUGUGGUUUAAUUCGAUGCAACGCGAAGAACCUUACCAGGGCUUGACAUGUCCGGAACUCUGCCCAAAGGCGGGGGUGCCUACGGGAACCGGAACACAGGUGGUGC
rnacentral:rRNA from 1 species